rnacentral:rRNA from 1 species
UACGUAGGUGGCAAGCGAUACUCGGAAUCACUAGGCGUAAAGCGCAGGUAGGCGGUUUGGUAAGUCUUUUGUGAAAGCUCCUGGCUCAACUGGGAGAGGUCAAGGGAAACUACCGGACUAGAGUGUGGUAGGGGAUACUGGAAUUCCUGGUGUAGCGGUGAAAUGCGUAGAUAUCAGGAGGAACACCGAUGGCGAAGGCAGCUCGCUGGGACGUUACUGACGCUGAGACGCGAAAGCGUGGGGAGCAAACAGG